rnacentral:rRNA from 1 species
GAUGAGCGCUGGCGGCGUGCCUAACACAUGCAAGUCGAACGAAGCACCUUGGACAGAUUCUUCGGAUGAAGUCUUUGGCGACUGAGUGGCGGACGGGUGAGUAACGCGUGGGUAACCUGCCUCAUACAGGGGGAUAACAGUUAGAAAUGGCUGCUAAUACCGCAUAAGCGCACGGUACUGCAUGGUACAGUGUGAAAAACUCCGGUGGUAUGAGAUGGACCCGCGUUGGAUUAGCUAGUUGGCAGGUAACGCUACCAAGGCGACGAUCCAUAGCCGGCCUGAGAGGGUGACGGCCACAUUGGGACUGAGACACGGGCCCAGGACUCCUACGGGAGCAGCAGUGGGGAAUAUGCACAAUGGGGGAAACCCUGAUGCAGCGACGCCGCGUGAGCG